UGGUGGAAGUAAGAGGACAUAUGCGGAGUAUGCAGAGCCAAAUCCAGCAACGGAUUGCUUAAAGUUGUUCGAUGAUGUUGACGAUUCUCGAGGUCUACCUCAGACUUGGACUAUAAUUGUAAGGAUAGAUGUUAAAUUCCCUAUGGAGCCUAGGUAUCAUGAUAAGCAACACUUCAUCCUUGUCGACACCACUGGUUCCAAAAUUGAAGCAAUUUCAUAUGGCAAUAAUGUCCAUCGAUUUGACACACUACUUCAGCAAGGAUGCAAGUACAUUUUGAAAGAUGUAGUUUUUGGGCCAAACUGGGGGGACCUUGAAUUCAGAAAUAUCGGGCAUCGGUUUGAGGUGACAUUGACCAGAAAAACUCGUGUUGAGCCAUACACCUUCCGACUUCAGUUCCCUCCCUGCCCAAAGCAUCUUAUGCCAUUUCAUGAAGUGAUCCGACAACCCAACAAGACAUUUAUGUUAUGGGAAUAGUUGUCCAUAUGGAGCCAUUGGAGCAUGUGGGCAAUAGGCUAUAUAGAGAGGUUGUGUUAAUGGAUGCAAGGUGGCACCUUAUUAUUGUUGGGAUUUGGAGUGACCUCUUCUGCCGGAAUUUUCAACGAUGGUACAAAGCUAGAGAUGAAAAGGAAAUUAUAAUUGCCACUAUGCUGCGACGAAACUCUACACACAGAUGCUUGGAGAGCUCAGACCACACAUCACUGGACUUCAACCCAAGACAUCACACAUGGCAUCAACUAGCAACUGUUCGGCGAAUAAUGAUGGAAAGGCAGAAUCUUCGCUUCA